GACGAACGCUGGCGGCGCGCCUAACACAUGCAAGUCGAACGAGCGAGAGAGAGCUUGCUUUCUCGAGCGAGUGGCGAACGGGUGAGUAACGCGUGAGGAACCUGCCUCAAAGAGGGGGACAACAGUUGGAAACGACUGCUAAUACCGCAUAAGCCCACGGCUCGGCAUCGAGCAGGGGGAAAAGGAGCAAUCCGCUUUGAGAUGGCCUCGCGUCCGAUUAGCUAGUUGGUGGGGUAACGGCCCACCAAGGCGACGAUCGGUAGCCGGACUGAGAGGUUGAACGGCCACAUUGGGACUGAGACACGGCCCAGACUCCUACGGGAGGCAGCAGUGGGGAAUAUUGCACAAUGGGGGAAACCCUGAUGCAGCGACGCCGCGUGGAGGAAGAAGGUCUUCGGAUUGUAAACUCCUGUUGUUGGGGAAGAUAAUGACGGUACCCAACAAGGAAGAGACGGCUAACUACGUG
rnacentral:rRNA from 1 species